GGCCUGGCUGAGUACUUUGGUUCUAUUUUGUUGGUUUCUAGGACUGAAGUA
rnacentral:rRNA from 1 species